UGGGGCUGGCAGACGUGUGUGUUUGCCUGACGGCACGUCUGUGUGGUGCAGUGUGGGUCUUCCUGAAAGCUGUGCGAUUUGGCGGGGAGCUGGACAGCCCUGGAGUCUGUUUCGGGCGUGGUGUGUUUCCCUGCAGCCGUCAUUGCUGAACUCGGCUGCAUGUACUUUUCCUCCUGCUGCCAGUUGCGCAGUCAUCAGCUGCAGUUGAUCCUGGGCUUACUGCUGUUUUGGCUCCCUUCUCUGGAUGUGCUUGGCACCUAGUUGUUGCACCGCGGCCUCCUCAGUGCACCCUGCUGCUCUAGGGGCCUGAUGGACAGUCCGGGCUCCUUCAGAAGUGUGGCUCACCGGCAUGGAGCCUAGGAGCUUGGGUGCUGAGGGGCUCCGGAGCGGCAGAGGUUCCCUGCUGGUGGUCCCUUUUUCACUUUUUGUUUGCGGUGUCAUGGGUGCUGUGUGUUUUUGGAUUCCUUCCCCUUUCUGUUGCCGCUGUCGUGGUAAGCCCCAGCCCUGUCUAGUUCAGUUUUCUUUGGCAGGCCUCAACCCCUCCUUAAUUUCCUUCUGAGUUAGUCUGCUAAUUUUAACAAUUGGAAUUUAAUACAUUUGUUUUAUAUUUGAAAUCACGUCUUCUGCCUCAGUGAAUCAUUGGAACCUGCGGGUCUUUGUAGUUUUUUUUUUCUUCUUCAUUUUAUUCAUUGCCGAGAUCCUGGGGUGAAAGUCCCCAGGUGGCGUUGUCUUUUGGUUUGUGUUCCGUUCACCUCACCACUCAUACUGCCACACAUUGAUCGAUUUUAAAGUUGUUGUAAAAUUUAAUUUAUAUUGUAAUCCCCAGGUAAAUAAAACCAGAGAGUGACCACUUAAAGGGAUACUUCAACAUUUUGGCAAAUUGGCCCAAUUAGUGCAAUUCCUUGGUCAUUUUGAACAACAUACUUACUUUUUUGUGAGGGCAAGCUAUUGCUUAUUCAGAGGUGAGUCGGGGAAGGUUUACGGGACGGACACAAUGGAAGUGAACGGUAUUUUUGGUUCCCUUCAUCAAACUCAUCAAAUACAAAAUCCAACCACCCCAAAACACUUUGGACACGUUAUAAUUCGCACAUUCACUACUCCCAAAGCCCAGCAGUUUAGAGAAUGGGCAAAUACGACCAUAAAGACUGCUUCAUAUGAAUGUAUGUUACAUAAGUUGAGUGG